GCGGAAGUGGCGGAAUUGGUAGACGCGCUGGAUUCAGGUUCCAGUGGUCGCAAGGCCGUGGGGGUUCAAGUCCCCCCUUCCGCACCA
rnacentral:tRNA from 1 species